rnacentral:rRNA from 1 species
GAGUUUGAUCAUGGCUCAGGAUGAACGCUAGCGGCAGGCUUAACACAUGCACGUCGAGGGGUAACGGGGAAGCUUGCUUCCGCCGACGACCGGCGCACGGGUGCGUAACGCGUAUACAAUCUACCUUGUACUGGGGUAUAGCCUUUAGAAAUGAAGAUUAACCCCCCAUAGUCUCUUAGAGUGGCAUCACUUCUAGAGUAAAGGUUACGGUAUAAGAUGAGUAUGCGUUCUAUUAGUUUGUUGGUGUGGUGACGGCACACCAAGACUACGAUAGAUAGGGGCCCUGAGAGGGGGAUCCCCCACACUGGUACUGAGACACGGACCAGACUCCUACGGGAGGCAGCAGUGAGGAAUAUUGGACAAUGGAGGCAACUCUGAUCCAGCCAUGCCGCGUGCAGGAAGACUGCCCUAUGGGUUGUAAACUGCUUUUAUACAGGAAGAAACACCUCUACGUGUAGAGGCUUGACGGUACUGUAAGAAUAAGGAUCGGCUAACUCCGUGCCAGCAGCCGCGGUAAUACGGAGGAUCCAAGCGUUAUCCGGAAUCAUUGGGUUUAAAGGGUCCGUAGGUGGAUAAUUAAGUCAGAGGUGAAAUCUUGCAGCUCAACUGUAAAAUUGCCUUUGAAACUGGUUAUCUUGAGUUAUUAUGAAGUAGUUAGAAUAUGUAGUGUAGCGGUGAAAUGCAUAGAUAUUACAUAGAAUACCAAUUGCGAAGGCAGAUUACUAAUAAUCAACUGACACUGAUGGACGAAAGCGUGGGUAGCGAACAGGAUUAGAUACCCUGGUAGUCCACGCCGUAAACGAUGGUUACUAGCUGUUUGGACUUCGGUCUGAGUGGCUAAGCGAAAGUGAUAAGUAACCCACCUGGGGAGUACGUUCGCAAGAAUGAAACUCAAAGGAAUUGACGGGGGCCCGCACAAGCGGUGGAGCAUGUGGUUUAAUUCGAUGAUACGCGAGGAACCUUACCAGGGCUUAAAUGUAAGUUGCAUUAGUUAGAGAUAGCUAUUUCUUCGGACCACUUACAAGGUGCUGCAUGGUUGUCGUCAGCUCGUGCCGUGAGGUGUCAGGUUAAGUCCUAUAACGAGCGCAACCCCUGUUGUUAGUUGCCAGCGAGUCAUGUCGGGAACUCUAGCAAGACUGCCAGUGCAAACUGUGAGGAAGGUGGGGAUGACGUCAAAUCAUCACGGCCCUUACGUCCUGGGCUACACACGUGCUACAAUGGUAGGUACAGAGAGCAGCCACUGCGCGAGCAGGAGCAAAUCUAUAAAACCUAUCACAGUUCGGAUCGGAGUCUGCAACUCGACUCCGUGAAGCUGGAAUCGCUAGUAAUCGGAUAUCAGCCAUGAUCCGGUGAAUACGUUCCCGGGCCUUGUACACACCGCCCGUCAAGCCAUGGAAGUUGGAAGUGCCUGAAGUCCGUCACCGUAAGGAGCGGCCUAGGGUAAAGUCGAUAACUAGGGCUAAGUCGUAACAAGGUAACC